GAUGAACGCUGGCGGCGUGCCUAAUACAUGCAAGUCGAGCGAACGGACGAGAAGCUUGCUUCUCUGAUGUUAGCGGCGGACGGGUGAAUAACACGUGGAUAACCUACCUAUAAGACUGGGAUAACUUCGGGAAACCGGAGCUAAUACCGGAUAAUAUUUUGAACCGCAUGGUUCAAAAGUGAAAGACGGUCUUGCUGUCACUUAUAGAUGGAUCCGCGCUGCAUUAGCUAGUUGGUAAGGUAACGGCUUACCAAGGCAACGAUGCAUAGCCGACCUGAGAGGGUGAUCGGCCACACUGGAACUGAGACACGGUCCAGACUCCUACGGGAGGCAGCAGUAGGGAAUCUUCCGCAAUGGGCGAAAGCCUGACGGAGCAACGCCGCGUGAGUGAUGAAGGUCUUCGGAUCGUAAAACUCUGCUAUUAGGGAAGAACAUAUGUGUAAGUAACUGUGCACAUCUUGACGGUACCUAAUCAGAAAGCCACGGCUAACUACGUG
rnacentral:rRNA from 1 species